rnacentral:piRNA from 1 species
UGUCAAAGGAAGCCUUACUAUACAUGG